GACGAACGCUGGCGGCGUGCCUAAUACAUGCAAGUAGAACGCACAGUUUAUACCGUAGCUUGCUACACCAUAGACUGUGAGUUGCGAACGGGUGAGUAACGCGUAGGUAACCUGCCUGGUAGCGGGGGAUAACUAUUGGAAACGAUAGCUAAUACCGCAUAAUAUUAAUUAUUGCAUGAUAAUUGAUUGAAAGAUGCAACUGCAUCACUACCAGAUGGACCUGCGUUGUAUUAGCUAGUAGGUGAGGUAACGGCUCACCUAGGCGACGAUACAUAGCCGACCUGAGAGGGUGAUAGGCCACACUGGGACUGAGACACGGCCCAGACUCCUACGGGAGGCAGCAGUAGGGAAUCUUCGGCAAUGGACGAAAGUCUGACCGAGCAACGCCGCGUGAGUGAAGAAGGUUUUCGGAUCGUAAAGCUCUGUUGUAAGAGAAGAACGGGUGUGAGAGUGGAAAGUUCACACUGUGACGGUAUCUUACCAGAAAGGGACGGCUAACUACGUG
rnacentral:rRNA from 1 species